rnacentral:rRNA from 1 species
GACAGAGGGUGCAAACGUUGUUCGGAAUUACUGGGCGUAAAGCGCGUGUAGGCGGUCGUGCAAGUCGGGUGUGAAAGCCCUCGGCUCAACCGGGGAAGUGCACUCGAAACUGCAUGACUAGAGUCUCGGAGAGGAUAGUGGAAUUCUCGGUGUAGAGGUGAAAUUCGUAGAUAUCGAGAGGAACACCGGUGGCGAAGGCGGCUAUCUGGACGAUGACUGACGCUGAGACGCGAAAGCGUGGGGAGCGAGCAGG